rnacentral:rRNA from 1 species
GACGAACGCUGGCGGCGUGCCUAAUACAUGCCAGUUGAGCGAUGAAGAUUGGUGCUUGCACCAAUUUGAAGAGCAGCGAACGGGUGAGUAACGCGUGGGGAAUCUGCCUUUGAGCGGGGGACAACAUUUGGAAACGAAUGCUAAUACCGCAUAACAACUUUAAACAUAAGUUUUAAGUUUGAAAGAUGCAAUUGCAUCACUCAAAGAUGAUCCCGCGUUGUAUUAGCUAGUUGGUGAGGUAAAGGCUCACCAAGGCGAUGAUACAUAGCCGACCUGAGAGGGUGAUCGGCCACAUUGGGACUGAGACACGGCCCAAACUCCUACGGGAGGCAGCAGUAGGGAAUCUUCGGCAAUGGACGAAAGUCUGACCGAGCAACGCCGCGUGAGUGAAGAAGGUUUUCGGAUCGUAAAACUCUGUUGGUAGAGAAGAACGUUGGUGAGAGUGGAAAGCUCAUCAAGUGACGGUAACUACCCAGAAAGGGACGGCUAACUACG